UCCGGCAUUAAUGCAUGUCUCCCAAAAGUGGGAACCGGUUUUGGGAUAAAGACAUGCAUGGAAACUAAAGCUUAAAGCGUGUCAUACGAGUACGAUAAAAUGCGACACGCUGUUAAAGCUUAUACGCAUUAUAAAACAGGCAUUUAUCGAGGCCCCCCCGAAACCAGCCGUUCCGGGGCCUCGUUUUCAUUG
rnacentral:ncRNA from 1 species